rnacentral:hammerhead_ribozyme from 1 species
UCCUAGCUGAUGAGUCCCCAACAGAACAAAACGUACGUCCUGGGU